rnacentral:rRNA from 1 species
CAGUAGCCGCGGUAAUACGUAGGGUGCGAGCGUUAAUCGGAAUUACUGGGCGUAAAGCGUGCGCAGGCGGUUAUAUAAGACAGAUGUGAAAUCCCCGGGCUCAACCUGGGACCUGCAUUUGUGACUGUAUAGCUAGAGUACGGUAGAGGGGGAUGGAACUCCGCGUGUAGCAGUGAAAUGCGUAGAUAUGCGGAGGAACACCGAUGGCGAAGGCAAUCCCCUGGACCUGUACUGACGCUCAUGCACGAAAGCGUGGGGAGCAAACAGGAUUAGAUACCCCAGUAGUCCCUGUCUCUUAUAC